GAUGAACGCUGGCGGCGUGCCUAAUACAUGCAAGUCGAGCGAACAGACGAGGAGCUUGCUCCUUUGACGUUAGCGGCGGACGGGUGAGUAACACGUGGAUAACCUACCUAUAAGACUGGGAUAACUUCGGGAAACCGGAGCUAAUACCGGAUAACAUGUUGAACCGCAUGGUUCAACAGUGAAAGACGGUCUUGCUGUCACUUAUAGAUGGAUCCGCGCCGCAUUAGCUAGUUGGUAAGGUAACGGCUUACCAAGGCAACGAUGCGUAGCCGACCUGAGAGGGUGAUCGGCCACACUGGAACGGAGACACGGUCCAGACUCCUACGGGAGGCAGCAGUAGGGAAUCUUCCGCAAUGGGCGAAAGCCUGACGGAGCAACGCCGCGUGAGUGAAGAAGGUCUUCGGAUCGUAAAACUCUGUUAUUAGGGAAGAACAAAUGUGUAAGUAACUAUGCACGUCUUGACGGUACCUAAUCAGAAAGCCACGGCUAACUACGUG
rnacentral:rRNA from 1 species